rfam:Camelus ferus unplaced genomic scaffold scaffold390, whole genome shotgun sequence.
GGGGGUAUAGCUCAGUGGAAGAGUGCAUGCUAAGCAUGCACAAGAUCCUGGGUUCAAUCCCCAGUACCCCCA